rnacentral:rRNA from 1 species
UACGAAGGGGGGCUAGCGUUGCUCGGAAUCACUGGGCGUAAAGGGUGCGUAGGCGGGUCUUUUAAGUCAGGGGUGAAAUCCUGGAGCUCAACUCCAGAACUGCCUUUGAUACUGAAGAUCUUGAGUUCGGGAGAGGUGAGUGGAACUGCGAGUGUAGAGGUGAAAUUCGUAGAUAUUCGCAAGAACACCAGUGGCGAACGGCGGCUCACUGGCCCGAGUACUGACGCUGAGGCACGAAGCGUG